UUUUUACUUCCUCUGUCCAACAAAAGAUGUCUCAAGUUUGUCAAAACUUGGAUGUAUGUAGACAUGACUUAGUGUAUAGAUGCAUUCAAAUUUGGUCAAAGUUGAGACGUCCUUUGUUGGACGAAGGGAGUACAAU
rfam:Brachypodium distachyon strain Bd21 chromosome 1, whole genome shotgun sequence.